CAAUAGCGUAUAUUAAAGUUGUUGCAGUUAAAAAGCUCGUAGUUGGAUUUCGGGGUGGCCUGCCUGGUCCACCGCAAGGUGAGUACUGGUCAGCCGCCCUUCCUCUCGAAAGCCCCGACUGCUCUUCAUUGCAGUGGUCGGGUAGUUCGGGACGUUUACUUUGAAAAAAUUAGAGUGUUCAAGGCAGGCUAUCGCCUGAAUACAUUAGCAUGGAAUAAUGGAAGAGGACCUCGGUCCUAUUUUGUUGGUUUCUAGGGCCGAAGUAAUGAUUAAGAGGGACAGUUGGGGGCAUUCGUAUUUCAUUGUCAGAGGUGAAAUUCUUGGAUUUAUGAAAGACGAACUACUGCGAAAGCAUUUGCCAAGGAUGUUUUCAUUAA
rnacentral:rRNA from 1 species